rnacentral:pre_miRNA from 1 species
UAAUAAUAAUAAUGAUGAUGAUGAUGAUGAUGGUGAUGAUCGGUGGUGAUAUUUGCCAUCAUUGCUUCACAUACACGCAUUCAUUUUUGAAAAGCGCAGCCCGACACCAUCAUUAGUCUCGAGAUCAAUCAUCAUCAUCAUCAUCAUCAUCAUCAUCAUCAUCG